UACGUAGGGGGGCAAGCGUUGUCCGGAUUUAUUGGGCGUAAAGAGCUCGUAGGCGGCUUGUCGCGUCGGCUGUGAAAACCUGGGGGCUCAACCCCGGGCCUGCAGCCGAUACGGGCAAGCUAGAAUUCGGUAGGGGAGACUGGAAUUCUCGGGUGUAGCGGUGAAAUGCGUAGAUAUCGAGAGGAACACCUGCGGCGAAGGCGGGUUGCUGGGCCGACACUGACGCUGAUGCGCGAAAGCCAGGGGAGCGAACGGG
rnacentral:rRNA from 1 species